AUCCUGGACGGACCACCGGUGGCGAAAGCGCCUCAGGAGGACGGAUCCGACAGUGAGGGACGAAAGCUAGGGUCUCGAACCGGAUUAGAUACCCGGGUAGUCCUAGCUGUAAACGAUGCCCGCUAGGUGUGGCGCAGGCUACGAGCCUGCGCUGUGCCGUAGGGAAGCCGAGAAGCGGGCCGCCUGGGAAGUACGUCUGCAAGGAUGAAACUUAAAGGAAUUGGCGGGGGAGCACUACAACCGGAGGAGCCUGCGGUUUAAUUGGACUCAACGCCGGACAUCUCACCAGCUCCGACAGUAGUAAUGACGGUCAGGUUGAUGACCUUACCCGACGCUACUGAGAGGAGGUGCAUGGCCGCCGUCAGCUCGUACCGUGAGGCGUCCUGUUAAGUCAGGCAACGAGCGAGACCCGCACUCCUAAUUGCCAGCAGUACCCUUUGGGUAGCUGGGUACAUUAGGUGGACUGCCGCUGCCAAAGCGGAGGAAGGAACGGGCAACGGUAGGUCAGUAUGCCCCGAAUGAGCUGGGCAACACGCGGGCUACAAUGGUCGAGACAAUGGGAUGCAACUCCGAGAGGAGGCGCUAAUCUCCUAAACUCGAUCGUAGUUCGGAUUGAGGGCUGAAACUCGCCCUCAUGAAGCUGGAUUCGGUAGUAAUCGCGUGUCAGAAGCGCGCGGUGAAUACGUCCCUGCUCCUUGCACACACCCGCCCGUCAAAGCACCCGAGUGGGGUUCGGAUGAGGCCGGCAUG
rnacentral:rRNA from 1 species